rnacentral:lncRNA from 1 species
UCCUCUUAAUUACAAAUCCAUCCCUAAACCCUCUUUGUUCUCUAAUUAUUAAACCAUCACUAAACCAAACAUUGUUUACAAAUGUGAUAUUGCCUUCCUUCCUCUACGUCUACCUCGAAUUUCCAUGAUGUACUUCCGGUUAUCAUUUGUCCGUAGAAUCAAAACCAUCAAAUUAGAUAUGGAGCUGUGGUUAAUAAAGCUUAACAAUAUGAUUCUUUCACCGCAAAACCAUCAAACCACGAGUAAACCAAUAACAUCUAUUUGGUUCGAAAUCAUAAUUUGAAUAUUUAUGAAUUUCCUAAAAUAAGUGACCUCCCACAAUUAAUUCCUAUAUUAUAGUGAAUCAUCCUAACCAUUCACAUUACUAGCACAAGAUU